rnacentral:rRNA from 1 species
AACGAACGCUGGCGGCAUGCCUAACACAUGCAAGUCGAACGAAGCCUUCGGGCUUAGUGGCGCACGGGUGCGUAACGCGUGGGAAUCUGCCCCUUGCUUCGGAAUAACAGUUAGAAAUGACUGCUAAUACCGGAUGAAGUCUUCGGACCAAAGAUUUAUCGGCCAGGGAUGAGCCCGCGUAGGAUUAGGUAGUUGGUGGGGUAAAGGCCUACCAAGCCGACGAUCCUUAGCUGGUCUGAGAGGAUGAUCAGCCACACUGGGACUGAGACACGGCCCAGACUCCUACGGGAGGCAGCAGUGGGGAAUAUUGGACAAUGGACGCAAGUCUGAUCCAGCAAUGCCGCGUGAGUGAUGAAGGCCUUAGGGUUGUAAAGCUCUUUUACCAGGGAUGAUAAUGACAGUACCUGGAGAAUAAGCGCCGGCUAACUCCGUG